AGUCUUGUAACCGAAAAAGGAGGGUCCCACUCCUCCCUAAGACU
rnacentral:tRNA from 1 species